AACGAACGCUGGCGGCAUGCCUAACACAUGCAAGUCGAACGAGACCUUCGGGUCUAGUGGCGCACGGGUGCGUAACGCGUGGGAACCUGCCCUUAGGUUCGGCAUAACUCCCCGAAAGGGGUGCUAAUACCGGAUAAUGUCUUCGGACCAAAGAUUUAUCGCCUUUGGAUGGGCCCGCGUUGGAUUAGCUAGUUGGUAGGGUAAAAGCCUACCAAGGCGACGAUCCAUAGCUGGUCUGAGAGGAUGAUCAGCCACACUGGGACUGAGACACGGCCCAGACUCCUACGGGAGGCAGCAGUGGGGAAUAUUGGACAAGGGGCGAAAGCCUGAGCCAGCAAGGCCGCGUGAGUGAUGAAGGCCUUAGGGUUGUAAAGCUCUUUUACCCGGGAUGAUAAUGACAGUACCGGGAGAAUAAGCUCCGGCUAACUCCGUG
rnacentral:rRNA from 1 species